AGAGUUUGAUCAUGGCUCAGAAUCAACGCUGGCGGCGUGCCUAACACAUGCAAGUCGAACGAGAAAGGGGAGCAAUCCCUGAGUACAGUGGCGCACGGGUGAGUAACACGUGACUAACCUACCCUGGAGUGGGGGAUAACUGAGGGAAACCUUAGCUAAUACCGCAUAACACCUACGGGUCAAAGGAGCAAUUCGCUUCAGGAGGGGGUCGCGGCAGAUUAGUUAGUUGGCGGGGUAAUGGCCCACCAAGACAGUGAUCUGUAUCCGGCCUGAGAGGGCGCACGGACACACUGGAACUGAAACACGGUCCAGACUCCUACGGGAGGCAGCAGUGGGGAAUUUUGCGCAAUGGGGGAAACCCUGACGCAGCAACGCCGCGUGGAGGAUGAAGUCCUUCGGGACGUAAACUCCUUUCGAUCGGGACGAUAAUGACGGUACCGAGAGAAGAAGCCCCGGCUAACUUCGUGCCAGCAGCCGCGGUAAUACGAGGGGGGCGAGCGUUGUUCGGAAUUAUUGGGCGUAAAGGGUGCGUAGGCGGUUUGGUAAGUCUGAUGUGAAAUCUCUGGGCUCAACUCAGAGUCUGCAUCGGAAACUGCCGGGCUUGAGUAUGGGAGAGGUGAGUGGAAUUCCUGGUGUAGCGGUGAAAUGCGUAGAUAUCAGGAGGAACACCUGUGGCGAAAGCGGCUCACUGGACCAUAACUGACGCUGAUGCACGAAAGCUAGGGGAGCAAACAGGAUUAGAUACCCUAGUAGUCC
rnacentral:rRNA from 1 species